GAUGAACGCUGGCGGCGUGCCUAAUACAUGCAAGUCGAGCGAAGAGGGGACGGGGGAGUAACACGUGGAUAACCUCCUAUAAGACUGGGAAAACUUCGGGAAAACGGAGCUAAUACGGAUACUGAUAGAUGGAUCCGCGCUGCAUUAGCUAGUUGGUAAGGUAACGGCUUACCAAGGUAACGAUGCAUAGCCGACCUGAGAGGAUGACCAGCCACACUGGAACUGAGACACGGUCCAGACUCCUACGGGAGGCAGCAGUAGGGAAUCUUCCGCAAUGGGCGAAAGCCUUACGGAGCAACGCCGCGUGAGUGAUGAAGGUCUUCGGAUCGUAAAGCUCUGUUAUUAGGGAAGCGUUACCCAAUCAGAAAGCCCCGGCUAACUACGUGCCAGCAGCCGCGGUAAUUC
rnacentral:rRNA from 1 species